rnacentral:rRNA from 1 species
CUAAAGAUUAAGCCAUGCAUGUCUUCGAAUUAGAGUAAGCAAUUAUCUCUGAAUCUGCGAACGGCUCCGCAAACCAGUUGUAAACCAAAGCAAGUCCCGUAUGGGCUGUGGGUCGGCCUCACGGUCGGCCCGUGGCCUGUACAAUAUAUGGAUAUCCGUGGUAAUUCUGAGGCUAAUACAUGACAAACAACCCGCCCAUCGGACGGCCCAUAACCUUGUUGAUGCUUAGCUCCGGCGAUGGCCAGCGUAGGUGUGGGUCCGCUCUCGGUGGCGGGGGACGUGUGAAGGACUCAGGCUUGGUUCGAUCGGGAAGGAACGCACGUUUUGACCAUCGUUUUUCGGGUCCUGCGUGGGCCGUGGUGGGGACUGGGCGUCGGCUGGGGGCUUGUCCCUCGGUCGGCAUCCGGGCCACUGCCAUUGGCACUGCUUGGCCUGGUGGCGAUUGCGACGUGCUUCUGACCUAUCAACCAGAUGACAGCAUACGGGACAUGACACGGUAACAACGGGUACAGAGGAUUAGGGUUCGAUCCUGGAGAGUGGGCCUGAGAGAUUGCUCAUACUUCUAAGGAAGGCAGCAGGCGCGCAACGUUCCCCUUGGACAUCGUCUGAGGGCGUUAGGGGACAUAUGAAUGGCUGCACAAGUUGUGGCCAAUUCAAAUGGGUUUGUCGUAAACAGGCUCUCGAGUAACAAUUAGAGGACAAGUCUGGUGCCAGCACCCGCGGUAAUUCCAGCUCUAAUAGCAUACGUUAAAGUUGUUGCAGUUAAAACGCUCGUAGUCGGCAUCAGUCUUCUGGAAGCCUGAACCGGGUCGGCCGUGGCUGUGCUCCUUCGCUGGAGCGCGCCGGCCGGUCUGGCGAGGGCCGAAGGUCGACAAUAGUGCCCAUUGCGUACCGGAGUGCGGGUUGGGGGGCUGGGGAGUCAUUAAGUUGGCGCGAUCCUCCUCCUGGCCGGCUCUGGGUUACAUGGUCAUCAUCAUAGCGCGCGCGUGUUGCGGCCGUCUUAAAUGUAUGGAGCGGGCACGACGACUGUGGUGGUGGCUUGGCAGUGGGUGCCAUUUGCCAUGAUUAAACUGGGGUGCUUAAGGCAGGCCGUUCGGUCUUCGGACAGAGCAGCAUGGCAUAAGUAUUCCCUCCUCUGUCCUUACCAAGCGAGGCAGAAUCGAGAUGCAUCUUGCAAAAGGGGUGUUCGGGGGUGACCGAAUUGCCGGGCGAGUGGUGAAAUACGUUGACCCUGGCAAGUCGUCCAAAAGCGAAAGCAGUCAUCAAGGGCACACCCAUUGAUCAAGAGCGAAAGUUAAGGGUUCGAAGACGAUCAGAUACCGUCGUAGUCUUAACUAUAAAUGAUACUGGCCGGGGAUAGGGCAAUGUCCAUCUCGACUCCCCCUGGACUCUUAGGAAACUAAAGCCUUUGAGUUCUGGGGGGAGUAUGGUCGCAAGGCUGAAACUUAAAGGAAUUGACGGAAGGGCACACAAAGAGUGGAAUCUGCGGCUUAAUUUGACUCAACACGGGAAAACUCACCAGGUCAAGAUACGAGGACGAAGAACAAGCCGAUAGACUUUUUCCAAUUACGUAAGUGGUGGUGCAUGGCCGUUCUUAGUUCGUGGAGUGGUUUGUCUGGUCUAUUCCGAUAACGAGCGAGACCCCAACGUUCUAACUAGGGGCGUCAGCCCGGCUCGGCCUAUCCAUGCGGUACUGGCACGUGGCCUCCUGCCUUCACGGGCGGGGGGUGCGCGGCUGGGACCCGGCUCUGCCAGCUGGCGCUCUGCUCAGAGCAGACUCUUCUUAGACGGAUCAGGGCCGAUAAGGUCCUUGAAAUGGGUUAAUAACAGGUCAGUCAUGCCCUUAGAUGUUCUGGGCCGCACGCGCGUUACAAUGGCAUGCAAAGAAGGUGUUCAAUUCGUUGAAACAUACAGAAAGAGCAGUCCCAGGGCCGAAGGGUCGUGGUAAACCCUAAGGCCUGCCUUGACUGGGAUUGACUCUUGUAAAUAUAGGUCAUAAACGAGGAAUUUUUGGUAGUCGCGGGUCAUUAACCCGCGACGAAUGCGUCCCUGCCCUUUGUACACACCGCCCGUCGCUGCUACCGAUUGGGCUUUGCGGUUACGCGUUCAGAGGACGGAGCCACUGCCAUCCGCAAGGGUGGUGGGAACUCCGGCCGAAGUUCUAAUUACCGCACGGCCUAGAGGAAGCAGAAGUCGUAACAAGGUAAUCGUAGGUGAACCUGCAGAAGGAUC